rnacentral:rRNA from 1 species
AGUGAACGCUGGCGGUAGGCCUAACACAUGCAAGUCGAACGGCAGCACAGUAAGAGCUUGCUCUUACGGGUGGCGAGUGGCGGACGGGUGAGGAAUACAUCGGAAUCUACUUUUUCGUGGGGGAUAACGUAGGGAAACUUACGCUAAUACCGCAUACGACCUACGGGUGAAAGCAGGGGAUCUUCGGACCUUGCGCGAUUGAAUGAGCCGAUGUCGGAUUAGCUAGUUGGCGGGGUAAAGGCCCACCAAGGCGACGAUCCGUAGCUGGUCUGAGAGGAUGAUCAGCCACACUGGAACUGAGACACGGUCCAGACUCCUACGGGAGGCAGCAGUGGGGAAUAUUGGACAAUGGGCGCAAUCCUGAUCCAGCCAUACCGCGUGGGUGAAGAAGGCCUUCGGGUUGUAAAGCCCUUUUGUUGGGAAAGAAAAGCAGCAGGUUAAUACCCCGCUGUUCUGACGGUACCCAAAGAAUAAGCACCGGCUAACUUCGU